UCCUACGGGGGGCAGCAGUGGGGGAUAUUGCACAAUGGGGGGAACCCUGAUGCAGCGACGCCGCGUGAGUGAAGAAGUAUUUCGGUAUGUAAAGCUCUAUCAGCAGGGAAGAAGAAAGACGGUACCUGAGUAAGAAGCCCCGGCUAACUACGUGCCAGCAGCCGCGGUAAUACGUAGGGGGCAAGCGUUGUCCGGAUUUACUGGGUGCAAAGGGAGCGUAGACGGUAUGGCAAGUCUGAAGUGAAAGCCCCGGGCU
rnacentral:rRNA from 1 species